UACCAGACUCCUACGGGAGGCAGCAGUGGGGAAUAUUGCACAAUGGGGGGAACCCUGAUGCAGCGACGCCGCGUGGGUGAAGGAGCGUUUCGGCGCGUAAAGCCCUAUCGGCAGGGAAGAAGGAGGACGGUACCUGACUAAGAAGCCCCGGCUAACUACGUGCCAGCAGCCGCGGGAAUACGUAGGGGGCAAGCGUUAUCCGGAUUUACUGGGUGUAAAGGGAGCGUAGACGGCAGUGCAAGUCCGGAGUGAAAGCCCGGGGCUCAACCCUGGGACUGCUCUGGAAACUGUACGGCUGGAGUGCAGGAGAGGUAAGUGGAAUUCCUAGUGUAGCGGUGAAAUGCGUAGAUAUUAGGAGGAACACCAGUGGCGAAGGCGGCUUACUGGACUGUAACUGACGUUGAGGCUCGAAAGCGUGGGGAGCAAACAGGAUUAGAUACCCCAGUA
rnacentral:rRNA from 1 species